GAUGAGGCCUAAUGCAUGGGUAGAAUAAUAGGUUUUCAAAUAGCUAAUCACUGAUUUCAACUCAUUGGAGAUUUGACUUUCUCAGUGUUUCCAUAUUACUGAUUCAAAAGAACUUAGGAAAAUAUAUUAUCAAAUAAAAAUAUUUCUAUAGUCAGCUGAGCAGAAGUUUCUUUUUUCCUAGCAAGCACAGUGGGCUUUUACUUGUUACAUAAUAGUUUAUUAGAUGGAAAAAAAUAAGGUGUGCUUUUUCAUGCAGUAGCCACUUAAUUUUCCCUGAUCGUUUCUAGUUCUCAGUUAGGUUAUCUCAUUUUAAGUACGGAGGAUGCUGUAUUUUCCAGUAUCUUCUUUUGCUUUUGUGGUGAUUGGGAAGGUAUUCCUUUGCAUGAGCUACUUGCACCUGGCCCGAAAUCCAUGAAAGAGAAUACGAUGAAAAAAAAAAAUGACAUGGCCUCCAGCACUUUCUUCUUUCUUUCUUUUUUAUUUUAUUUUAUUUUAUUUUUUAUUUUUCAUAUGAAACAUUUUCCUGCCAGGAUCUUCUAUAUACAGUUGGAGGAUGCUUUUGAUAUGUAGAUCAAGCAAAAUGGUAAAUACAGAGCCCUCUCUUUUCAAACAUUCCCUUAUUCUACAAUGUGCCUGUAGUGUCACUGUCUUUGAUUUCCAUGAGGCUUGCCCUUGGGUUUGUAUUGUAACUUGGUAUCUUUCCAUUGUCCCUUACCACAAAAAAUUCCUUUUUAAGAAACUGAAUUCAGAAUGUAAUCCAUCAAGCUUUAGCUCCUCUUUCUCUUUCCUUCUGGAAGAUUUAGUGACUAAGUCUUUGGUUUGAUUUUCUUUCUCUGACUUUGAGGGGUCUCACUUUCUCUUCUAAUUGCUACAAUCUGGUAACUCCUUUUGCUUGGAGCAAACAAAAACAGAAACACUUGGUGAGGAGACAAACAGGCUCACAAGCUCACGUGCCUGACUAGCUGAUGGAUGGCAAGGUCUGGCUCUCAGGAAGAGAUCUUUCCAUGACACCAUGCAACGUCAGUUUCAGGAUGGGCUCUCUGCCAGGCACAGUGGAGCUCACCUUCUAGUACCAAACGUAUCUAGUUGCACUCCAUAAAGAUUAUAUAAAGGACUUCUUCGUAAAUGUGCAUAAUUCUGCUGCCAGAGUAUAGGAGAGUGAGAGAGUAAUUCUGACUAGAGGAAUACAGAUUUCCUGGAAGAGAAGGGAUUUUCCUGGUCUUCCAAAAUGGAGAGGAUUUUGAGAGGAGACGUUUAGUCUUCCACUGGCUCUAAUAUGUAUCUUAGAAAUCCGUAAGAUUUUAGAAGGCUGUUGAAGCAACACUUGAGAGCCCAAUUCAAGGAUAAGACCUGGUGACAUCACUGGUAUCGGAUUCAUACAGAGAAGGAAUAGGUAUGGAAGGCUGUUUGUCUGGGACACAUCUGAAACAAGAAUCUUAACAAUGGUAAAUCUAAAAGCUGGGUCUUCUAAUCUCACGGUAUCAUGUGAUUUUUCUUUCUUACACUCACUGUUAAAACUUCCCAUCCCGAAGCAACAGCAUGUUCACACACAAACACCCCCAUAGACAACUGAAACCAUUAAUAUUCGCAUAGGCCUUGUGACUCAAAGUGUGGGCUCUAGACCCAGAUCACCUGGGAGCUUGUAAGAAAUGCAGAAUCUGGAGCCCCACCCCAGAUGGACUGACUCGAGAUCUGCAUUUUAACACGGUAUCUGGAUUGUUCUCACGCACGUGAAGUCUGAGAAGCACUGACUUAAAAAGCAAGUUUUCGAAGUUGCACGGCCCUCUCAUCCUUAAAACCCACGUAUGUUCAAUUUCAAACCACUACGUA